CGUAUCUGAGAUACGUUACGCCCCGCGGAAAGACACACCAAUGUAUCUGAAUCCGGCCCUGUGUGUCCAUUCAGCCAAAUGAACAUUUGUUAGGUACGAAUGGUAAAUGAAAAAACUUGGCUUACAAUUGAUGUUCCAAUUCAUCCCCAAAGGUGUUCAGUAGGGUUGAGGUUAGGGCUCCAUGCAGGCCUCUCAAGUUCCUCCAUACCAAACUGGUCAAACCAUGUCUUUAUGGAGCUGAUUGCAUUCAUGCAAUCAGCCAAAGGAACAUUUGUCAGAUACGAAUGCUAAAUAAGAAGGUUUAAAAUUUACAUUCCAAUUCAUCCCCAAGGUGUACAGUAGGGUUGUGGUCAGGGCUCCAUGAAGGCCACUGAAGAUCCUCCACACCAAACUGGAUGAAUGCAAUCAGCUCCAUAAAGACAUGGUUUGACCAAUCAGCCAAUGGAACAUGUGUCAGCUACGAAUGCUAAAUAAGAAGACCUGGUUUACAAUUGACAUUCCAAUUCAUCCCCAAGGUGUACAGUAGGGUUGUGGUCAGGGCUCCAUGCAGGCCACUCAAGAUCCUCCACACCAAACUGGAUGAAUGCAAUCAGCUCCAUAAAGACAUGGUUUGACCAAUCAGCCAAAGGAACAUUUGUCAGAUACGAAUGCUAAAUGAGAAGACUUGGUUUACAAUUGACAUUCCGAAUCAUCCCCAAAGGUGUACAGUAGGGUUGAGGGGCUCCAUGCAGACCACUCAAGAUCCUCCACACCAAACUGGUCAAACCAUGUCUUUAUGGAGCUGGUUCUAUUCAUCUGAGAAGGCUUCCCCUACAAUUUUGAAGUGUGUCUGGGGGAAUUUGUGUCCAUUCAGCCAAAGGAACAUUUGUCAGGUACAGAUAUUGGAUAAGAAGACCUGACUUACAUUCCUUGUUCCAAUUUAUCCCAACAGUGCUCAGUAGGGUUGAGAUCAGGGCUCUGUGUAGGCCACCCAAGUUCGUCCACACCAAACUGGUCAAACCUUGUCCUUACAGAGCUGGCUCCACUCAUCUGGGAAGGCUUCCCACUCAAUUUUUUUACUGUGUCUGGGGGAAUUUGUGUCCAUUCAGCCUAAAGCACAUUUGUGAGUUCAGGUAGUGUGAUGUUGGAAGAGAAGACCUGGCGAGCAAGUGAUGUGUUCAGUAACUUUGAGGUCAGGGCUCUGUGCAGGAUAUUCCAUUUCCUCCACACCAAAUUGGUCAAAGUCUUUAUAGAGCUGACUUUGGGCACAGGGGCACAAUCCUGCUGGAA